ACCCAUUCUCUUAUCUUCUUUCUCUUUCUUCUUCUUUCUUAUUUCUCUCUCUUUUCUCUGUUCUUCGUCUCUGGUUCUUCUGUGAGAGGAUUAUGAGGUUGUGAAGCCGCUAAUCUUAAUAGAAACUCGAGGUGGUGACUGAUGUUUGUGGUUUUCUUGUUGGUUGAUCGUGAGAAGAAGGAGAGAUGAUGAUUUGUAGAGAAAACAUAAAGUUAGGGUUUCUGAGAUUUGGGAAUCGAUUGAGGAUUUAAACAAUAGAGGAUGGAAUUAAGUGAUUAAAGGGGGUUCUAUGUAUUGGAAGCAAAGAAGAUAAAUUAGAUUUGGUUCUCAAACUUCAGAGAAGAAUCAAGAAUGAGGGUUUGAGGAUUUGAUUAUUAUUUCGAAGAUUUAGAAAGAUUUAUAGCUAUGGCUAGAUGAAGAACACAUGGGUGAUGUUUAAUUAACGUUCUGAGGUUAUGUUGGUGCUAGAAUCAGAUAUUUAGGGUUUCAUGUUCCUCCCCAAGUUAAGAACGGGGUUCUGAUUAUUGAAUGAAGAUUCAAGUUGGAGUUAGACAAGAAGAAAUUGAAGGCUGGGUGUGGUGAUUUGGGAGGUGAAUCGAAGUGUAUAACUCAGAUUAUCUAGAUAAAGGAAUUGGGAAGUUUUAGGGUUCUUUUGAACCAGUGAGGGUGAUGAAGAUUAUUGGGUGUUUGUAGUUUGGGAUGACUGUUCAAUUGAGGCAAUGGAAGGAAGAAUUCGACCUCAGUUACCUGUGGAGAAUUAAUCUGAGAUAUGUUGGACUGUGGCAGGUUAUUGUAGUUUUGUUGGCGGUAUUGAACUGGUGGUGCAGAAAUAGAUGAGAAAAGAAUGUGCUUGGUGUUGAAGUGGUAUCUAGGGAUGGUGGUGUUGUUUGCACAGUUGGAUUUGCUGGUGAUGGUGUUUUAUAAGUAACAGGGCUUUAGAAAUGAGACUGUUAGUGUUGUAUUCACAAGUGCAGGGCUAGCUGGAGUUGCGGUUAUUGAAGCCUUGGGAUGCUGGUGUUAGUGAGAUGGAAAUGGAAACAAAAAUGGUGGUAGAGAUUGUGGAAAGUGCAGGCAAUGUAUGAAAUGAUGAAGGUAUUGUCUGAAUUGAAGUUAGUAAAUGCAGAUGGUGUUAUGAUUGUAGCUUAGUCUUAUGAUUGAGUUACAAGGUUUUAGUAUAUGAUUAGAUGAUACAAAUUAUGGGUGAUAAUGAAGUAUCAGAUUGUAUUUAGUUGUUGAAGGUAGUAAUAUUACUGUUGGUGCUGAGAUAGUGGGGUAGGUGGUGGUUCUGUAGUUGGUUGUGAGUUGCAAGGAAGUGUUGUUGUUGUAGUUAUGGCUUGAUAGCAGUCUAUAUGAAGGCUUGCUUCUGCUCUUGUAGGUGAUGUAUUGUCUUUGUAAAUCAAUUUAGAGAUAUAAACUGAAAUGAAAUAGAUUGUAUUUGAGCUGA